rnacentral:lncRNA from 1 species
UACCGCAGAAUGCUCGUCUGCACCAACUCCUCCCGCCUCAUCCUCCGCACCCCGUCGGGCAACUACCCGGUCGCCGCCAUCGACUACGCCGACCCCCACCUCCUCGUCACCGACCCCUCCAUGUGGAGCUGCCCCUCCAACAACAACUUCUACGGCGACGACGACGACGACGAGGAGGAGAAUGCCGUUUACCGCCGCCCGGUCACUCCCUUCAGCCUCGACACCAGCACUCGCUUCUCUCUCUCCCCCAGGAACGACUAUCUCUUCUUCAACUGCAGCGAGGACUCGGUCAUCAUCCAGCCGAAGCCGAGCUUCUGCGACCGGUUCCCCGACCGCUGCGACUCGGCCUGCGACAGCGCCGGGUAUCUGUGCCGCAACUUGCCGGUGUGUCCGAACGCUCUGGUGGAGACCAGGACCAGCUGCUGCUCUUACUAUCCCAAGGCUUCGGAGUCGCUGAGGCUGAUGCUGAAGCACUGUGCGUCGUAUACUAGCGUGUACUGGAGGACCGUGGGAGCGAGCUUUCCGCCGUAUGAUCAGGUGCCGGAAUAUGGGAUUCGGGUAGAUUUCGAGAUCCCUGUCACCACUCGGUGUCUCCAGUGCCGCGAUAGAGCGAGGGGUAGGGGAACGUGUGGGUUCGACACCGGAUCGCGGAGUUUUCUUUGCCUUUGUGAUGAAGGGAAUGUCACUACUUACUGUACCGGUUAGUCCGUCCCUCCUGCUCGCUAUAUGUUCCCGAUCCGUAGUUCCGUACAUUAUAUUAUUAUGUCAUAUAAUCGCACAUCUACUAGAUUAUGUUGAUCUUUAGGGUUUUACGAGAAAUAAAUUAUAGAUCACUUAACGAUUACAUUAAUAACUCCAAUGAUAUUAGAACUGGGAAAGCACAGAUUCGUGAUCUCUGAAGCAUCUAAGGAAAAUAUAAUAUAGAAGAAAGAAAGCUGUAAAGCUAAAUGCGCUUCUUCUUUUGGACGUGGUAACUGGGCCGUACUUCGAAGGUAUCAAUCCAUUUUUCUUUCUCUUCUAUCACAAUUUUAGAAUCUUAUGACAUCCCGAGAUGUAUACAAACUAUCGAGCAAAUGUUUACCUUAUAUAUAUAUAUAUAUAUAUAUAUAUAUAUAUAUAUAUAUAUAUAAAAAGCCAAUCCCUCAUGAAUUAGGACAAUUGAUGAUUGAAUGAAAACUCGUUCAUGAAUUAGGACAAUUGAUGAUUGAAUGAAAACUCGUUUCUCUUGGGCCGCCGCCUCCUCUCUUCUCUUCUCCCUUCUUCGCGCCGUGCGUGGCUUCUCUUCUCCCUUAUUCUCUUCACGCCGUGUGGUGAUCCCCUCUUUCUUUUCUUCUACCACGCCUCUCAACCUCCUUUCCUAUUUUGGUGUCUUCCCACUCCAACAAGGAAUCAGAUUUUUCUGCAUCAAAGGCGUCCCAUCAACAAGUAAUCCUAAUCCAAAGGCAACCCCUACUACCGCAGAAUGCUCGUCUGCACCAACUCCUCCCGCCUCAUCCUCCGCACCCCGUUGGGCAACUACCCAGUCGCCGCCAUCGACUACGCCGACCCCCACCUCCUCGUCACCGACCCCUCCAUGUGGAGCUGCCCCUCCAACAACAACUUCUACGGCGACGACGAGGAGGAGAAUGCCGUUUUCCGCCGCCCGGUCACUC